rnacentral:sRNA from 12 species
ACCCUUGUGACUGCAAGAAAGGCAACACGUAGCGAGAACGUGCAAGGGU